GGAGCAUUCAUGGCUCAGUGACAGAGCAUCUGCUUAGCAUGCGGAUAGUCUCAGGUUCAAUCCCCAACAUCUCCA
rnacentral:tRNA from 1 species